UACAGAGGGGGCAAGCGUUGUUCGGAAUUACUGGGCGUAAAGGGCGCGUAGGCGGCGUGCUAAGUCGAACGUGAAAUCCCCGGGCUCAACCCGGGAACUGCGUCCGAGACUGGCAGGCUUGAAUCCGGGAGAGGGAUGUGGAAUUCCAGGUGUAGCGGUGAAAUGCGUAGAUAUCUGGAGGAACAUCGGUGGCGAAGGCGGCAUCCUGGACCGGUAUUGACACUAAGGCGCGAAAGCCAGGGGAGCAAACGGG
rnacentral:rRNA from 1 species